GUCGAAUAUCAACAACCGGGGCAUAAAAAAAGUAAAAAAAAAAUUGUAUUUAAUAAAACGAUUUUUAACUGUACUUUGUGAAUAAUUUGUCUCUUACAACCCCAUAGGCCUGUAGCGAACAUAAGGGGGCGUCAUCGUCCACCUUAUAGACUGGUUUAAGGUGAAGUUAAUAAUAUUGGAAUUCAUAGAAACAUUCAGGAACGAAAAAUCUUGCAAUGCGAUGGUUACUGUUUAGUUAGAGUUAACACGCAAUAAAGAAUACAAAAAAAAACCCAACACAUAUAUUUUAAAAUAAUUUUAUUUCCAAAUCAACUAUAAGCAAGUUUGAAACAUAAUAAAAAGUUCAACUUUAGAUGAACGCAAUAUUUAACUAUUUGAUUGUUCUGAAUGUUCUAGAAAAUAUAACAUUAAAUUUUUUCAGGUUAACCUGAAGUCUGAA